rnacentral:tRNA from 1 species
GAAAAUUUAGUUAAAAUAUAACAUCAGCUUGUCAUGCUGAAAUUGCUCAAUAGAGCAAUUUUCU